AUUGAACGCUGGCGGCAGGCCUAACACAUGCAAGUCGAGCGGGGUUUUCGGACCUAGCGGCGGACGGGUGAGUAAUGCGUAGGAAGCUGCCCGAUAGAGGGGGAUACCAGUUGGAAACGACUGUUAAUACCACAUAAUGUCUACGGACCAAAGUGUGGGACCUUCGGGCCACAUGCUAUCGGAUGCGCCUACGUGGGAUU
rnacentral:rRNA from 1 species